GAAUUCUUACUUUGACAACAUAAUACCAUGUCUUAGAGGUCUAGCCAGCUAAAUAAAAAGACAGUACAGUCUUUUUAUACUAUGGGAUGGGGAUGCUGAGGUUUUAAUGAAAUGGGGAUGCUGAGGUUUUAAUGAAAUUAUUUUCCUUUUCCUGUCUUCUGUAACUCUACAGCAUGGUUUAUUAAGAAGAGAGAGGGAUUUUAGGGAAGAAUCUCUGGCCUGACUGAGAUAUCUUUAGGUGUAGACUUUUCCCAGAACAAAAGCAGUAGAGUUAAGGCACACCAUCCUACACAGUGUAGUAAGUAGCUUAGUAGUAAUCUUGAUGACAUCCUGGAUUAGCAGAUACAAGCUAGGAGGAGAAUUUUUUUUCUGACAGUUGAGAAAAUCAGGAUAUAGUCUGUACACUGAUACAAACACACAUGAUAUAUAUAGAAGAGAGAAAAUAUGCGCCUCCUGCCCAACCACCUUUUUUUGGGGGUGGGGGGACUGCUAUACAACCCAUUAUCAUAUCAUAGCUGCCUGUCCUUUGAGUUCUACAGACAACCUCCAUAGAGAUAAGACAAAAAAGGAAGGCUGAGGAUCUUGAGUUGGGGAGUGAAAGGUGGUCACUUCCUAAGAUACAUCUAGCUAACCAUAAUUUUGUUUUCCUCCUUUGAGACUUAGAGUCAGGAAGGAUUCAGUAGCUUUCUAUUAUAAGGUUUUCAAGACUGCAGACAGUAAGAAAGAGGCAGUUGGGGCAGCUGCAUUGUCCUGACCACCCAGGAUAGUCUGGUUAACAGUAUGUCAGGGAUGGCUGAGGAGCUGUAAGAGAACCCAGCCAUCCCUUGAUGAGCUUUAUUGAGAGCGGUAUUAAAAUUUAGAAUGGUUCAUUGCAGUUGGGUUCC
rnacentral:lncRNA from 1 species